GGAGGGGACAUCAGAAACCAAGCCGUGGAUGCCUUUCAGCAAACCUGUGCCCGACAGAUGAUGGAACGAGAGUGUGAUUACGUGGCUAUCCAUCGAUGCAGUCAAUGGCUUCGGUUUUGAACUACCUACGGAAUAUCCGUUGUCCGUCAGCAAUCGACGUACGUAUUUGCACAAUGGUACGCACCGGGAAGGACACGAGCUAGGUCACCAGAAAUAUGCGCAUCGAUUUCCACGUGUCUGUGGCCGAAAUGGAUGGAGAGAGCAAAAAUUAAUAUUGAAUUAUCGAGCGACCGCUGAACAAACACACAGUCCAGCUAUCGAAUUCCAGUUCUCCUUGCCCACAAAGGACCAUACCUGGAAUGGCGAUAGGGAAAUGUGACCCAAUUCAUCUCCGGAAAACGGGAAACGACAACCAUUGCACAAACCGAAUCCGUAUAACCCAUAAUGCGUGGUCGAUCAUUGGCCGGAAGAGUUGAUUAUGGUACCCAUCGUGGAAUGGUCCACGUGAACGUUGAAACACGUGUACUGGACAUGAAACAAAAAGGUGGAAUUUUUCUCUCUCCAAUGCAUCCAAAAGGGUCACUCCAAGCUGGUCCCUUUUCGAAAGAACAUUUCGUUCUCGUUUUGUCGAUACGAUUGCACUUUCCAAUUUCCAAUUUGAAGAUAUACCGCUUUGAAUGCAAAUAUUAUUUUACACUUAAAAACCUCAACAUUUUCCAUUGUUUCGUUUCAGCGAUUGUGAUGUCUGAUGCAUUGAAGCCUUCAAUUUUUGGUAUCACUCGACUUGUCAAUCCAUUUCCUGAAAAGUAAUGCAACCUUUGGAAACCAUCAACUAUAUCAAAGUGCGUGCGAAAGAAUGAGAUGCGAGAGAUAGGAUCGGGCGACAGCUUCGCCAAUUAUAGUUGUGCACACCUACACGAAGUAGUGAGAGCAGUGAAGUGAUAACGAAGCAGGAGAGAUAAUGAUAAUGAGCAAAGGAGAAAGUGUGAUCAGUAGUGAUCGGGACAGCAGCGCGGUUGCGUAAUGAAAAAAAGGCUCGCGGCAAAGUGGCGUCCUUCCUUUGUAAAACGUUUUGCAAGACAGUUUUUCGGUGCCAAAAAGUGAUAUCCUUUCCUUAAGGACUUUAUUUGAUAGAAAGAACAUUUAGUACAACAAUUUGUGAGUGAUAUAAUGUUAAAAAGUGAACAUCUUUUGCACGCGUUCAAAUGGCUGCCGGCGUCGGCUUGGGU